rnacentral:lncRNA from 1 species
AACCGAUGCCGCACGUCUGGGCCGACGAGGGCGGACAAGGCUCGGGGCACGGCAGAGACGGCGGGAUUACGAUCUCGAUCUCGAUCUUGCUGGCGCAACCCUUGUGGUGCUUCUUGUGAUGCUUCUUGUCGUCCUUGUGGUGAUGGUGGUGGUGCUUCUUGUAGAUCUCGGUGCACGAGUCGCUGUCGGGCACCACAUAGCACGACGAAGACGAAGAUGAUGACGACGUCGAUGACGGGCAGGACGACUUUUGAU